UUGCAGCUGCAUGGAUGAACCUAGAAAGUCUCGUACUCAGUGAAGUAAGUGAGACAGAGAAGGAGAACUAUCCUAUGACGUCCCUUAUAUGUGAAACCUAAAAAGAAACGAUACAAAUGAGCUUACAAACAAAACAGAAACAGAUUCAAGAGAGUUUAUGGCUGCUGGUGGGAAAGGUAGGGGGAAGGGAUAGUCAGGGAGUCUGGGAUGGACAUGGACACACUGCUGUGUUUAACAUGGAGAACCAGCAAGGACCUGCUGGACAGCACAGGGAACUCUGGUCAGUGUCACGUGGUGGCCUGGAUGAGAGGGGAGUUUGGGGGAGAAUGGAUACGUGUGUAUGUGUGGGUGAGUCCCUUCGUUGACCGCCUGAAACCAUCCCAACAUUGUUCAUCAGCUCUACCUCAAAACAAAAUGAAAAGUUUAAAGCAAGAAUAACCUGGUUCUUCGCAACUAGAGAUGGUCCUGUGAAGUGAGUUAAGUCAGACAGAGAUGAAUGCCAGAUGAUGUCACUCAGCUGUGAAGUGCAAAAUAUGACACAAGAUGAAUUGACCCGAGAAAGAGAAGCAGAGUCCCAGACACAGAGGACAGAACAGCAGUUGCCAAGAUUGGCCUCCGUCAUUGCAGUAAAGAAGCAAAUCUGCGUGCUGUCUAUUCUUGAUGGUUGUUAUCCCAAUUCUGAUGUUAAUGGAAGGGACUCCAGCCUGGAAUACCAGGAGAUGCAGGGAACCGUGGGGAUGGUCAUCUUUCCUCGUUCAAGGUCGUCUCAGUGUCGCAGAGCUGCAAGGGCAUCAACAGAUACCCCGCUCCUCCGUGUCACAGGUUCUCUGUUCUCCUCCACCAUCAGCGGAUCCUCAGCCAAGGGGUGAUCCCUGGCACGGAAGCCACUAGACCUCAAGCAAGAGUCAUCAGUUUCAAGCAGGCGUCGUCAAGCUACCGAUUUCUCGACUAAGGUUAUAAAGAGUUCAAGGCAUUUCUGUAAUGCUGGGUGAAUUAAACAUCCACAUUUUCCCCUGACAUUUUUAGUAGUAAAGCAUUAAAAUAUAGGCCAUUAAAAUUUGUGGCCACGUGGGGUUUUUGAAGAGUGAUUUUUUUUUUCAUACGUACCAUUGGCUUUGGUUGGGUUUGGCGACUACCACUUUUUUUAAUCAGGGAAGUGUCGUGGGGAAUUAUUUGAGAACGUGUGGAUGACCUUGAAUUUUAUGUCCUGGGCAGAGUGGAGUGUUUCUCUUGUCCCCGCCAAAGCCCAUAAAAGCCAGGGAUUGAAUGUUCAUAGCCCUGGCCCAAAGACAGCCUUGCAAAGCUGAGGGUCGGGAAGCCAUUCGUUUGUUUCCCUUGGCUGUUUAUGACUGAAGUAUAGUGGAUUUACAGCGUCGUGUUCAUUUAUUCUAUGCAGCACACCGACUCAG
ensembl:lncRNA